UACAGGGGGGGCAAGCGUUGUUCGGAAUUACUGGGCGUAAAGGGCUCGUAGGUGGCCAACUAAGUCAGACGUGAAAUCCCUCAGCUUAACUGGGGAACUGCGUCUGAUACUGGAUGGCUUGAGUUUGGGAGAGGGAUGCGGAAUUCCAGGUGUAGCGGUGAAAUGCGUAGAUAUCUGGAGGAACACCAAUAGCGAAGGAAGCUCGCUGGGACGGUACUGACGCUAAGGCGCGAAAGCGUGGGGAGCGAACAGG
rnacentral:rRNA from 1 species